UACGUAGGGGGCAAGCGUUGUCCGGAAUUAUUGGGCGUAAAGGGCUCGUAGGCGGUUCGUCACGUCGGGAGUGAAAACUCGGAGCUUAACUCCGAGCCUGCUUCCGAUACGGGCAGACUAGAGGUAGGCAGGGGAGAGCGGAACUCCUGGUGUAGCGGUGGAAUGCGCAGAUAUCAGGAGGAACACCGGUGGCGAAGGCGGGUCUCUGGGCAGUAACUGACGCUGAGGAGCGAAAGCGUGGGGAGCGAACAGG
rnacentral:rRNA from 1 species